rnacentral:lncRNA from 1 species
CAGCGGCAGCCUGGACAAGCGGCUGGGGAUCACGGCGGGGAUCUGCGUGCUGAUCCAGCACGUCCCGGACCGGAACGGCGACCGGUACGAGGCCAUCUACAGCUUCUACUUCGGCGACUACGGCCACAUCUCGGUGCAGGGCCCGUACCUGACCUACGAGGAGUCGUACCUGGCGGUCACCGGCGGGUCGGGCGUCUUCGAGGGCGCCUACGGCCAGGUCAAGCUCAACCAGAUCGUCUUCCCCUUCAAGAUCUUCUACACCUUCUACCUCAAGGGCAUCCCGGACCUGCCCAGGGACCUGCUCUGCACGCCCGUCCCGCCGUCACCCACCGUCGAGCCCACCCCCGCCGCCAAGGCCGCCGAGCCGCACGCCUCCAUCAACAACUACACCAACUGAUGACCCCAGUUUCUUUCGAUUCGGUGCUUGCUUGCGUUGCGUUCUACUAGUUAGUAGUACCAAUAAAUUAAAGAUGCAGAGGGAGGGAUCGAUCCACUUGUAGUACGUGCUUUUCACUUGGCUUCUUCUGAUUACAGCUGACUAGCAGCACCUCGUAUCAAAAAAAACAAAAAACAAAAAAAUCGAUGGAUUAGUAGA